rnacentral:rRNA from 1 species
UACAGAGGUGGCAAGCGUUGUUCGGAAUUACUGGGCGUAAAGGGCGCGUAGGCGGCCGCCUAAGUCAGACGUGAAAUCCCCAAGCUUAACUUGGGAACUGCGUCUGAUACUGGGUGGCUUGAGUUCGGGAGAGGAAUGUGGAAUUCCAGGUGUAGCGGUGAAAUGCGUAGAUAUCUGGAGGAACACCGGUGGCGAAGGCGGCAUCCUGGACCGGCAUUGACGCUGAGGCGCGAAAGCCAGGGGAGCAAACGGG